rnacentral:rRNA from 1 species
GUGGGGAAUCUUGCGCAAUGGGCGAAAGCCUGACGCAGCCAUGCCGCGUGAAUGAUGAAGGUCUUAGGAUUGUAAAAUUCUUUCACCGGGGACGAUAAUGACGGUACCCGGAGAAGAAGCUCCGGCUAACUUCGUGCCAGCAGCCGCGGUAAUACGAAGGGGGCUAGCGUUGCUCGGAAUUACUGGGCGUAAAGGGCGCGUAGGCGGACAGCUUAGUCAGAGGUGAAAGCCCAGGGCUCAACAUUGGAAUUGCCUUUGAUACUGGCUGUCUUGAGUUUGGGAGAGGUGAGUGGAACUCCGAGUGUAGAGGUGAAAUUCGUAGAUAUUCGGAAGAACACCAGUGGCGAAGGCGACUCACUGGCCCAAUACUGACGCUGAGGCGCGAAAGCGUGGGGAGCAAACAGGAUUAGAUACCCGUGUAGUCC